CCUACGGGUGGCAGCAGUGGGGAAUAUUGGGCAAUGGAGGAAACUCUGACCCAGCAAUGCCGCGUGAAUGAAGAAGGUCUUAGGAUUGUAAAGUUCUUUAGUCAGGGAAGAAGUCAAUGACGGUACCUGAAGAAUAAGCUCAGGCUAACUACGUGCCAGCAGCCGCGGUAAUACGUAGGGAGCAAGCGGUGUUCGGAAAGACUGGGCGUAAGAGGUGCGUAGGCGGUUGUACAAGUUAGAAGUGAAAUACCCAGGGCUUAACUCGGGUGCUGCUUCUAAAAAUGUAUGACUUGAGUGCAGUAGAGGUUAGUGGAAUUCCUAGUGUAGCGGUGGAAUGCGUAGAUAUUAGGAGGAACACCAGAGGCGAAGGCGGCUAACUGGACUGCAACUGACGCUGAGGCACGAAAGUGUGGGGAGCAAACAGGAUUAGAUACCCGGGUAGUC
rnacentral:rRNA from 1 species